rnacentral:rRNA from 1 species
CGCUGGCGGCGUGCCUAACACAUGCAAGUCGAACGGAGCUGAGAAGCUUGCUUUCAGCUUAGUGGCGGACGGGUGAGUAACGCGUGAGUAACCUGCCUCCGAGAGUGGAAUAACGUUUUGAAAAGAACGCUAAUACCGCAUAACGUAUCAGCAUCGCAUGGUAUUGAUACCAAAGAUUUUAUCGCUCGGAGAUGGACUCGCGUCCGAUUAGUUAGUUGGUGAGGUAACGGCUCACCAAGACCGCGAUCGGUAGCCGGACUGAGAGGUUGAUCGGCCACAUUGGGACUGAGACACGGCCCAGACUCCUACGGGAGGCAGCAGUGGGGGAUAUUGCGCAAUGGGGGGCCAACCCUGACGCAGCAACGCCGCGUGAAGGAUGAAGGUUUUCGGAUUGUAAACUUCUUUUAUCAGGGACGAAAAACGACGGUACCUGAUGAAUAAGCUCCGGCUAACUACGUGCCAGCCGCCGC